UAUAGUUUAACAAAAACACUAGGC
rnacentral:tRNA from 2 species